rnacentral:rRNA from 1 species
GACGAACGCUGGCGGCGUGCUUAACACAUGCAAGUCGAACGGUAAGGCCCUUCGGGGUACACGAGUGGCGAACGGGUGAGUAACACGUGGGUGAUCUGCCCUGCACUUCGGGAUAAGCCUGGGGAACUGGGUCUAAUACCGGAUAGGACCACUGCCGACAUGGGUGGUGGUGGAAAGCUUUUGCGGUGUGGGAUGGGCCCGCGGCCUAUCAGCUUGUUGGUGGGGUGAUGGCCUACCAAGGCGACGACGGGUAGCCGGCCUGAGAGGGUGACCGGCCACACUGGGACUGAGAUACGGCCCAGACUCCUACGGGAGGCAGCAGUGGGGAAUAUUGCACAAUGGGCGCAAGCCUGAUGCAGCGACGCCGCGUGAGGGAUGACGGCCUUCGGGUUGUAAACCUCUUUCAGCACCGACGAAGCGCAAGUGACGGUAGGUGCAGAAGAAGGACCGGCCAACUACGUGCCAGCAGCCGCCGUAA